rnacentral:siRNA from 1 species
UACCCUUUUCUUGUACUCCUAUA